CGAGGCCGGAGCCGGACCCGGGCUGCUUUUAGCAGCCGCUUGGGCCACCGCCAGCGAACGCUGCCCCCGCCGGCUCCGCCGCCACCUUAAGACGGGCCGGGAGGGGGGCUGCGGGCGGCCCGGGCCGGCGGCCUGGCAGGUUCAUUUACGCUUGUUAGGGCGUCCCAGGGGGCUGUCUUUCUCCUAGAAUGGAGUGUUUAUUUUUUAAUUGAUGUGCUGUUUCAUUUAGCGCUUGUAUGGAACUCAUGCUGGGGCAGUAAUUACUGUAAUCUCGGGAACAAGCAUUUCAGUUAGCCAGGAGGGUGGCAGAAUAUGUUUCUCUCUCUCUUUCUCUCCCUCCCUCCCGCCUCCUCCCCAUCUCCGUCCCCCUCUCUCCCUCUUCCUCCCUGCCUCUCUUCUGUCUUCCCUCUCUCUCUCUCCCCACCUCCUUUCCUUCUCUCUCUCCCCCACCACUUUCUCUCCCCCCUCCUCCUCUUCCCCUCCUCCCUCUCCUUCCUUCCCUCCCUUUUCUCUCCGCUCUCUCACUCUCUUCUUGUUUCAAGAUUUUUGCUAUUUGCCAGGUUUCAUACCGGAACAAGUACAGUUGGAGAACAAAAGUUGCAGAGGGCGUGGGGACAGAGCAAAAGAAUUAAAAGUACAUUUGAGGCCAGUUCCGGUUUUCGGGGCGCUGCUGGUGGUGGUGGUAGCUCGUGGUUGUCCGUUCAGAAACAACUCUUGUCAUAAAACAAAAAUAACCAGCAGUAUUUGUAGAUUGCUUGAGCUGAUGGCAUCUAUGUCUUCCUCCUCCUGCUUUCUGUAGCUCAGUUAGCAACCUCAUUAUGAAACAUAUUACAAGUAGACUGUCAGACCGCACCCUGCCCCAGCGCCCCGUUUUUGGCAAGUUCUGUGUUCUAGGCAUAUCCACCAAUCUAUAGUUAUACCCCCCUAUCUUUUUAACUUUUUUAGUUUUAGUCUAUAGAGUUGAACCUCUUUAUACUGAAAAACAACACUUCCUUCCCACUUUUGUUUUGGAAAAACUAAAGUCCGUAGGAAUUCGGAAUUCAAAGGCUUCAGAAAUAUUAGCUGAUUCAGCAGAAAACGGGCUAUUCAAAAAUACAGACUAGACCUUUACUUGAUUAAAAAAUUUUUUUUCUUUUCUCACCUCCUGCAAAUCGGAAUUCCCACUUGUAUGUUGAAUGUAGAAAUUCACUAUCUCUGCGGUUGGCACCUUGUUUCCAGAGGGCGAGUCUCCAGAACGCAUCAGCUGCAGGUAAUUGCCAGAGGUUCCAGUGCUGAUCUGAGGGCAGCGGUGCAGGCAGAGCCCCAAAGACCAGCAAGGGUGCUGCACUGCCCGCACCACAGAUGGGAGGGGCUGGUUUCCAAGAGCAACACAGAUGGUGAAAAGUUUCUGUUGCUUUUCUUCCACGGGGAAAUGUCAAAUAGUGAAGUUUAGAAUUACACUACAUAAAUUUGCUAGAAUUGGGUAAAAACAAACUGACAUUUGAAAAUUGAAAUUGAAGCUGAAAAUGGUUGAUUUUGGCUCUUAAUUGGCUUUAAAUUUUUUUUCUUUUUUCUUUUGAGACAAGAUGAAAAGUUUGAUGAUGUGGAAUGUGGAAAUUUUGGGAAAGAGAUCCUGUUGGAAGGAAGUACUCUUUGCUGUGUCUGCUGUCACCAGGCCAAGGUGCACAUGGAUGGAGAUAACAGGCCCACCUGUGCCACUGGCUGGCAGGCCCAUGCUCACUUUACAUGCAGCUGCUGCUUUGGAAUACGGCGACCGCACUGCCAUUAUUUAAGUUGAUAAUUAUUCUAAAAUUUGUUUUAAAAAUCAAUAAUUGAUUUUUUUUCUCAUCCACAUGGGAAUAUUUGCCAGAUAUUGAAGCUCUUAUUAUGGCAUGCAUUGUGCAUUAGUUUGGUAGAUUUCAGGUCCAGUAAAGACCUCCCGGGUAAAAGUGGCUUAGCCAAGAAGGACAUCUCAACAUAUCAAUAAGUCUAGAAGCAGACAUUUCACCGUCAGUUCUUUCUGCAGCUCCAGGAGGUUAGGGCUGCAGGUUGGCUUCUAGACUGUUGGUUUCCCCUUUGGUUACAGGGGGCCUCCCACCACUGAAUUGUCACAUUGGACUGUGGCCAGGGCUGGAGGACUGCUAUGAUAUUUUUCUUCCCUUAGGAAUGACAGCCUUUCCCUGAAGGCCCUUGGCUAACUUCCCCUUUGGGCAACCUGGUCUGAAUCUGUCACUUGGCCACUCUUAGCUGCAAGAGAGGCUGUGAAAGUGAGGAUCUGGAGAGUGGCUGUUGAUGGGGACACUGGUAGCCAGGAAGGGGAGGAGGGACAACCCACAGUGUCAGAUGCACAUUACUGUGUGAAAGCAGUGAACUUCCAAGCAAUACCAUUGAGUCAACUUCCCUGGUCUUACAGCGGAAUUUAUGCAGGGUUAUAAAUUAAGCAUGAUCUAGAUCCAAGAAAACCUUGAGAUCUACAUUUUUUUUUUGAAGUUCACACAAUACAGUUCUUUGUACAUUUAGUAUGAAAUAAACGUCAAGCAGUUUACAGCGCA